UUUGGACCCACCUGACUCCAUCCCGAACUCAGAAGUGAAACGAAACAGCGUCGAUGGUAGUGUGGGGUCUCCCCAUGUGAGAGUAGAACAUCGCCAGGC
rnacentral:rRNA from 1 species